rnacentral:ribozyme from 11 species
AGAAAAAAAGAAAACACAGACUUACGUGUUCCUUGCUCUUUCUGUCUGUCUUUUUCUAUUCUUUGUCCGUUC